rnacentral:lncRNA from 1 species
AACAUAACAUACUAAAUAUUUUUUAGAACUAAAAUAUUCUUGAUAACCUCGUCUCUCCUCCAAUGAGAAGCUCCGGCCUCAGCCCCGUUCUCUUCCCCCGCUCCUUAAUUCGACCAUGCGGACAUAUGAGGUUUGAAUCCCAUGCCUUCGAGCUUUCUCAUGAUUCUCAUCUUCUCUAGCCCGCCAUAAGCACACCAUCGCUGGCAGUCGGUCCCUCCUCUGCCUACUUUGUCAUCGGUCGUGCAUUCAUCGAUCUAUUGGCCUCGUCGUCAAUGUUGCCUCCCUCAA